rnacentral:rRNA from 1 species
UACGGAGGGUGCGAGCGUUUGUCCGGAAUCACUGGGCGUAAAGGGCGCGUAGGUGGCGCGGGCAGUCAAACGGUGAAAGUUUCGGGGCUCAACCCCGAAUCGGCCGUCGAUACUCCCGGGCUUGAGCACUGUAGAGGCUAAUGGAAUUCCGGGUGUAGCGGUGGAAUGCGUAGAGAUCCGGAAAGAACACCGGUGGCGAAGGCGGUUAGCUGGGGCAGUUGCU